UUGCUCCUCUGACGUUAGCGGCGGACGGGUGAGUAACACGUGGAUAACCUACCUAUAAGACUGGGAUAACUUCGGGAAACCGGAGCUAAUACCGGAUAAUAUAUUGAACCGCAUGGUUCAAUAGUGAAAGACGGUUUUGCUGUCACUUAUAGAUGGAUCCGCGCCGCAUUAGCUAGUUGGUAAGGUAACGGCUUACCAAGGCGACGAUGCGUAGCCGACCUGAGAGGGUGAUCGGCCACACUGGAACUGAGACACGGUCCAGACUCCUACGGGAGGCAGCAGUAGGGAAUCUUCCGCAAUGGGCGAAAGCCUGACGGAGCAACGCCGCGUGAGUGAUGAAGGUCUUCGGAUCGUAAAACUCUGUUAUUAGGGAAGAACAAAUGUGUAAGUAACUAUGCACGUCUUGACGGUACCUAAUCAGAAAGCCACGGCUAACUACGUGCCAGCAGCCGCGGUAAUACGUAGGUGGCAAGCGUUAUCCGGAAUUAUUGGGCGUAAAGCGCGCGUAGGCGGUUUUUUAAGUCUGAUGUGAAAGCCCACGGCUCAACCGUGGAGGGUCAUUGGAAACUGGAAAACUUGAGUGCAGAAGAGGAAAGUGGAAUUCCAUGUGUAGCGGUGAAAUGCGCAGAGAUAUGGAGGAACACCAGUGGCGAAGGCGACUUUCUGGUCUGUAACUGACGCUGAUGUGCGAAAGCGUGGGGAUCAAACAGGAUUAG
rnacentral:rRNA from 1 species